AUGGAGACCCUGUUGAGCUUCACUCUAGUCCGACUCUGUCAAGAGUCAUGAGAGGGAGGUUACCAACAGUGAAAUACCACUACUUUCAUCGAUUCUUUACUUAUUCGGUAAAACGAGAAUUGAAAUAUUAUAUGUGUUUCGAAAUUUUUGAUUUAAGUUAAAUCACUCGGUGAUUUAACGACUCACACCGAAGACAGUGUCAGGCGGGGAGUUUGACUGGGGUGGUAUAUCUGUCAAAACGUAACGCAGGUGUCCUAAGGCUAGCUCAGAGAGGACAGAAACCUCUCGUAGAGUAAAAGGGCAAAAGCUCGCUUGAUCUUGAAUACAGACCGCGAAAGCGUGGCCUAUCGAUCCUUUUGAAUUUUUUUAGAAGGUUUCUAGCAAGAGGUAUCAGAAAAGUUACCACAGGGAUAACUGGCUUGUGGCAGCCAAUUAUAUUUGACAUAUUAAAAACAAAUUUGUCAUUUACUC
rnacentral:ncRNA from 1 species